rnacentral:lncRNA from 1 species
AAGGACUAUGUCAAGCUCAGAAAGUUUAGUGAUUUGCUGAUGGAAAUGCAGUGUGCUAAAUCUGAAGGCGACCUUCCUGGUCUCUCAUUUCUGGACACAGCCAAAGGUGUUAAUCCCAUUGUCCAGAAGCUCCCAUUUAAUUUGCAGGAGAAGUGGAUAACAGUUGGCACGAACUAUAAAAUCAAAAACCAUGUCUCUUAUCCACCAUUUAGUGUUUUUGUGGACUUUGUUGCUCAAGAGGCAAGUGCUAGAAAUGACCCUAGCUUCCAGUUCUCCUCUCAACCUGAUGCUCCUCUCAAAUCAGAGAAACAACCCUGGAGAACAAACAGACAAAGAGAAAUAUCAGUGCACAAAACUGAAGUGGUCCCCAGCUCUAACUCAGACACAAGGGAAAACAGAAAUAGGAAGAUGGACAGUGACAAACUCUGCCCUAUUCACAAAAAAGAUCAUCCUCUUCCAAAAUGCAGAACGUUUCGCAUGAAGUCGCUUGAUGAGAGAAAAGCAUUCCUGAAAGAGAACAAUAUCUGCUAUAAAUGUUGUGCCUCUUCCAAGCACAUGGCGAAAGACUGUGAAAUAAAGGUGCAAUGUUCUGAGUGUAACAGUGAGAAACAUUGUGCUGCUCUUCACCCCAGUCCAGCUCCAUGGCAAAAAAAGACUGACCUGGUGGAAGAGCAUGGCGGGGAGCCAGCCAACUCAGAGACAAGUGCUGCAGAGAAAGGUCCUACAGAGCCAGACGGGAUCAACUCCAAGUGCACUCAGGUUUGUGGUAAAGACGAAGCAGGCAGAUCAUGUUCGAAAAUCUGUCUUGUUAAAGUCUACCCUGCCGGCUGUCCCAACAAAGCAGUACGACUCUAUGCCAUUCAUGAUGAACAGAGUAAUAGAUCAUUAGUCCGCCCUGAGUUUUUUGAGCUGUUUAAUGACUCGGGUCCUAGCGCUCCCUACUCACUUAAAACAUGCUCAGGUGUGAAAGAGAGCAUGGGCAGGAGAGCCACCGGCUAUGUAGUGGAGGCUUUAGAUGGUACAGUCCACAUCCCACUCCCUAGCCUCAUUGAAUGCAAAGAUAUCCCAGAUGAUAGGGAUGAGAUACCAACUCCCAGUGCAGCCAAGUAUCACAGGCACCUAAGGUCUGUGUCUCAUUUCAUUCCUGACCUGGACCCUAAUGCUCAAAUUCUAAUGCUACUUGGACGGGACGUAGUAAGAGUACACAAAGUCCGCAAGCAGAUAAGUGGCCCUCACAAUGCACCAUACGCACAAAAAUUGGACCUUGGGUGGGUCAUAGUGGGAAAUGUGUGUCUAGGAGAUGUCCACAAAACUUUGGCAGUGAAAACUCUCUUCACCAAUGCAACAGAGAAAGGCCGUCCCACAAUGUUUGAGCCAUGUCCAAAUGUGUACAGUGUAAAAGAAAAGCACUGCGACAUACAAGUUCCAUUCAGUCUCAGCACUCAGCUCAGUGACAGCACAUGUGAACCUGAUCAUUUAGGAUGCAAUGUGUUCAAACAAACCAG